UACGUAGGGUGCAAGCGUUGUCCGGAAUUAUUGGGCGUAAAGAGCUCGUAGGCGGUUUGUCGCGUCUGCUGUGAAAACUCGGGGCUUAACUCCGGGCCUGCAGUGGGUACGGGCAGACUAGAGUGCGGUAGGGGAGACUGGAAUUCCUGGUGUAGCGGUGAAAUGCGCAGAUAUCAGGAGGAACACCGGUGGCGAAGGCGGGUCUCUGGGACGGUACUGACGCUGAGACGCGAAAGCGUGGGGAGCAAACAGG
rnacentral:rRNA from 1 species